GACCGGGACCUCAAUCGGGUGGCAGCGUCGGACCAUGGUCGUUUGCUACCUACUCUUCCGUCCCAAGAUUG
rnacentral:snoRNA from 1 species